CCACUCUUGCUGUGCAAACUCAAUUUCCUGUAUCCUACUCUAUGUAUUUUCGAAGCAGUCAUCGCCAUAUGGUAUACUCUCUCUAGAUUAUUUUCUUGGGCAUUUGCCUAUUGUCACCUUUUCUUCUCACUAGCAUGUGGCUCCAUGAGGGCAAAUACUUAAUCUGUUAUGUUCACUGGGGCAUCUCCAGAACUUGCCUGAAACCCAGUAGGUGUUCAAUAAGUUCUGGAGGGAUGAAUGAAUGACUCCUCUCACUAUAAGGGAGUUUGGGAUAUGUAGUCUAUCUGGGCACAUUUCUAUCUGUUCUCUUUGCAGGGGAGAAAGGGAUGAGGAUGUUGGAUAAGCAGCUCAGCAUGUUCCCCAACAUGUAAGGGAAUCAGUUCGAGUUCUACACUCUCCUUCUUGGUACACAUCCUCAGAAUGCAGGAAGUGCCUCUGCUUGUUGUGAGUCUUUGUGGACAGAGGCAGGAUCAUGCUGGCUAGAAUCUAGUGGACAAGGGCAGCACAUUCCCCCUGUUCCCAGGUGGGUCCAGAGAUGUCGCCUGGGAGCCAGGGCCUGGAGUUCUAUGUUACUGUGGCUGAGCUUGCACCCAAGCUACAAGAUGACAUCCCACUCUUCCCUCACCUUUCUACAAGUAGAGGAGUCUCUUCUCAUGGCCACCAUUGUCCCAGGAUGUGAGGUCUGGAACAGCUGCAGCCAUUUUGCCACCAUGGGAAACCUGGGACAUCCGAACUGACUCCAUGAAGCCUGAAGAGAAAGCUAAUAAGAAGGCAGAGAGAAGAGGAAGAGAGUCUUGGUCUUUGGAAAUAUCUUUUGGAGCUGCUGGAUCAAGUAUCACUUGAAGGUAAGAAAACUGAAGUUCAGAAAAGGGAGGGGACUGACUCAAUCACAGCUGCUGGCAGAUCUGGGACUGCAAACCAGCCUUCCAUUGCUCCACACAGGUGUCUCUUCUCACCUGGAAUCACAGCAUUGGGUGGACUGAAAAGAGGAAGAGGCUGCAAUGGAGCAGCACACCUAGUGUGUGGGGAUGCCUGGAAAACAAAAUUAGGAGAGCCCUGGGUCAGCAUUGCUCUGGCACUGGCUGGGCCGGGGGCCAUCCUGAUUCUAGAAUUAUCUUGGUUUCUGGGAUAGAAAUGUCCCCAGAGUGGAGAAGUUCAGUUCAAUCCAACAUCCUUAUAUUGCAAUGAGGAUAAAGACCACAGACCCUAUGGCCUGUAUGACCCAGCUGCCCAUUUCUAGGAACCCAUUCCUACAAAAAUGACAACAUGCGUGUGCAAACAGCAACAAUGACAAACAUACCCUGGGAUGCUUUCCCUGUGUGGUUUGUUAUAGUAAGAUGGCGGCUACAGCUUAUAAAUCAUCAACAGAGGACUGGCUAAAUGAUGGCACUUCAUUCUGCAGAAUCUUUUGUUGUAGUCAAAAAGAACAAGUUAGAUCUAUAUGUGUGAACUUGGAAAGGUGUACAUGACUUAAGUAGAAAAGUUAAGUUGCAGAACGA
rnacentral:sRNA from 1 species